rnacentral:rRNA from 1 species
AUGUCUGCUGCUCUCGCAGAUUCAUUCUCUGAGCCACGCACGUAUCAAGCUGCUAUGCGCAUUCCUCAUUGGAGAGAGGCCAUGGAGCAGGAGUAUCAAGCGCUUCUUCGCAAUCAGACAUGGACUCUUGUUCCUCCACAAUCACGGGUAAAUGUCAUUGAUUCCAAAUGGGUUUUCAAAGUGAAGAGGCAUUCUGAUGGGUCCAUUGAGCGCUAUAAGGCUCGUCUGGUUGCUCGUGGUUUUCGACAGCGUUUUGGACUUGACUAUGAAGACACCUUCAGUCCAGUGGUCAAGCCUACUACCAUCAGACUUCUUCUCUCUCUGGCUGUUACUCGAGGUUGGUUUCUUCGUCAGCUUGAUGUUCAAAAUGCUUUUCUUCAUGGUGUCUUGGCGGAGGAGGUUUACAUGCGCCAGCCUCCGGGUUUCUCUGAUCCGGAUCGCCCUGAUCAUCUCUGUCGUCUUUCCAAGGCAAUUUAUGGUCUGAAGCAGGCUCCUCGUGCUUGGCAUGCUCGUCUUGCAAUGGCUCUUCGUGCUCAUGGUUUUGCAUCAUCAACUGCUGACUCCUCAUUGUUUCUUCUUCAAAGGCCUGAGGUUACUAUGUACUUGUUGGUCUAUGUAGAUGAUAUCAUUUUGGUCAGCUUCUCUCAGUCGGCUGCUACUGCGCUUGUUCGCUCACUUGGUGCUGAUUUUGCGGUCAAGGACCUUGGGAAGCUUCAUUACUUUCUUGGUGUGGAGGUUACUUCUCGUGCUGCUGGCCUUGUUAUGACGCAGAAGAAGUACUCUCUGGAUUUGUUGCAGCGAGCUGGGAUGCUUAAGUGCAAACCGACGACCACACCCAUGUCUACCACUGAUAAGCUCAAUGCUGUUGAUGGUGUGCUUCUUUCUUCUUCUGAUGCGACAGAGUACAGGAGUAUUGUUGGUGGGCUCCAGUACUUGACGAUCACGCGACCAGACAUUUCCUAUGCUGUUAACCGAGUCUGCCAGUAUCUGCAGUCACCCCAUGACACUCAUUGGUCUGCUGUUAAGCGGAUUUUGCGCUAUAUUCGUUUCACGGUGGCUCAUGGUUUGCAUAUUCGGCCGUCUGACUCUGGUUGUCUUUCAGCAUAUUCUGAUGCAGACUGGGCUGGCAAUCCGGAUGACAGGCGAUCCACGGGGGGUUAUGCUGUCUUCUUUGGCUCUAACCUGAUUGCCUGGAGUGCUCGGAAACAGGCUACUGUCUCGCGUAGCAGUACUGAGGCUGAGUAUAAGGCUGUGGCCAAUGCCACAUCAGAGAUCAUCUGGGUACAGUCCUUGCUUCAGGAGUUAAGUAUACCCCAAUCACAGCCUCCUGUUCUUUGGUGUGAUAACAUCGGUGCUACAUACCUUUCUGCAAAUCCGGUAUUCCAUGCCCGAACGAAACACAUUGAAGUUGACUAUCACUUUGUGCGUGAACGUGUCUCUCAGAAGCAACUACAGAUCAAGUUUAUUUCUUCCAAGGAUCAACUUGCUGACAUCUUCACCAAGCCAUUGCCUUUGCCACAGUUUGAGACUUGCAGGCGCAAUCUUACCCUUCUAGAUUCAUUAGAAAGUGGCUAA